rnacentral:ncRNA from 1 species
GAUAUCCUUCGGGGCAGGGUGAAAUUCCCGACCGGCGGUGAUGGGAACAGCGUUUCCCUAAGCCCGUGACCCGCUUACAAGCGGUGGAUUCGGUGUGAUUCCGAAGCCGACAGUAUAGUCUGGAUGGGAGAAGGAUGAU